rnacentral:rRNA from 1 species
AUUGAACGCUGGCGGCAGGCCUAACACAUGCAAGUCGAACGCGAAAGUCCUUCGGGAUGAGUAGAGUGGCGGACGGGUGAGUAACGCGUAGGAAUCUGUCCGGUAGUGGGGGAUAACGUUCCGAAAGGAACGCUAAUACCGCAUACGCCCUAAGGGGGAAAGCGGGGGAUCUUCGGACCUCGCGCUAUCGGAGGAGCCUGCGUCGGAUUAGCUAGUUGGUAGGGUAAAGGCCUACCAAGGCGACGAUCCGUAGCUGGUCUGAGAGGAUGAUCAGCCACACCGGAACUGAGACACGGUCCGGACUCCUACGGGAGGCAGCAGUGGGGAAUAUUGCGCAAUGGGGGCAACCCUGACGCAGCCAUGCCGCGUGUGUGAAGAAGGCCUUCGGGUUGUAAAGCACUUUCAGAGGGGAGGAAAGGGUGCUGGCUAAUAUCCAGUGCAGUUGACGCUACCCUCAGAAGAAGCACCGGCUAAUUCCGUGCC